GACGAACGCUGGCGGCGUGCCUAAUACAUGCAAGUAGAACGCUGAAGGAGGAGCUUGCUUCUCUGGAUGAGUUGCGAACGGGUGAGUAACGCGUAGGUAACCUGCCUGGUAGCGGGGGAUAACUAUUGGAAACGAUACCUAAUACCGCAUAAGAGUAGAUGUUGCAUGACAUUUGCUUAAAAGGUGCAAUUGCAUCACUACCAGAUGGACCUGCGUUGUAUUAGCUAGUUGGUGGGGUAACGGCUUACCAAGGCGACGAUACAUAGCCGACCUGAGAGGGUGAUCGGCCACACUGGGACUGAGACACGGCCCAGACUCCUACGGGAGGCAGCAGUAGGGAAUCUUCGGCAAUGGACGGAAGUCUGACCGAGCAACGCCGCGUGAGUGAAGAAGGUUUUCGGAUCGUAAAGCUCUGUUGUAAGAGAAGAACGAGUGUGAGAGUGGAAAGUUCACACUGUGACGGUAUCUUACCAGAAAGGGACGGCUAACUACGUG
rnacentral:rRNA from 1 species